rnacentral:rRNA from 1 species
CCUACGGGAGUCAGCAGUGAGGAAUAUUGGUCAAUGGGCGCGAGCCUGAACCAGCCAAGUAGCGUGAAGGAUGACUGCCCUACGGGUUGUAAACUUCUUUUAUAAAAGAAUAAAGUUAGGCACGUGUGCCUUUUUGUAUGUACUUUAUGAAUAAGGAUCGGCUAACUCCGUGCCAGCAGCCGCGGUAAUACGGAGGAUCCGAGCGUUAUCCGGAUUUAUUGGGUUUAAAGGGAGCGUAGAUGGGUUGUUAAGUCAGUUGUGAAAGUUUGCGGCUUAACUGGAGAAUUGCAAUUGAUACUGGCAGUCUUGAGUACAGAUUAGGUAGGCGGAAUUCGUGGUGUAGCGGUGAAAUGCUUAGAUAUCACGAAGAACUCCGAUUGCGAAGGAAGCUUACUAAACUGCAACUGACAUUGAUGCUCGAAAGUGUGGGGAUCAAACAGGAUUAGAUACCCCAGUAGUC